UUAUGCGCGCGCACACCUCUGGUCACGUCACUCCCGGGAAAGCCGUGAGCCUGCGAGAAAAGAAGCGCGCGAGAUAGGAACUUGAGCGCGGACUAGUGUGUUGUCAGCAAUCCAGUGUACCUAGCCCAGCGACAAUUAGAUUUUUAGUUUUUACCAACGUGGAUUAUAUACGACAAACAGACUUGCUCAUAUAAUAUAGUUUGUAAAUAUAUGCACGACGUGGGCAAAAAAAACAUACAAUAUAUUUGUGAUGGAGGUAAAGCAAAGGGAAAUGUCCUGGUGGUCGCGCGGAGAGGAUGGGGAGGAGGCAAUGUAUCAGGAAACUGACUCUGACGUGGCUGAACAGAGAGACUGUGGAAAGGUCAAAGUGAAAUGGACACAAGAUGAGGAUGACAAUCUCAAAGCAUUGGUCCAAAACCGGGGACCAAAUGACUGGAAAUACAUUGCCAGCAUUUUACCGAAUCGCUCAGAACACCAGUGCCAGCACCGCUGGUUGAAGGUUCUGGAUCCAGAUCUGGUCAAAGGGCCCUGGACCAAAGAGGAGGAUGAGAAGGUGAUAGACCUGGUGAACAGGUAUGGCAACAAGCAGUGGGCUAUCGUGGCCAAGCACCUGAAAGGCCGGCUGGGGAAGCAGUGCAGGGAACGCUGGCACAACCACCUCAACCCGGACGUGAAGAAAUCCUCCUGGACAGCAGAGGAGGACCUCAUCAUCUACAAGGCCCACUGCAUGCUGGGAAACCGCUGGGCUGAGAUCGCCAAGCUGCUCCCCGGAAGGACAGAUAAUGCUGUGAAGAACCACUGGAACUCAACCAUCAAGCGUAAGGUUGAGAUGGGCUUCUACAGCAGGGUGGAUCCUUCUCUGAAAUGUCAGCAGAUGGAACCAGAGGAGAGCAUGGCCCACCACAGCAGAGAUCAGCAGAUGGACUAUGGUGGUUCUAUGGAGAGGGAACCAGACCAAGAUCCCACACUGCCGGAGAAUGCCAAUACAUCCACUGUAAGAGGCGGACCGAAAGAAGCAGGCUUCCACAAGGCUGUCUCUCCUCAACAGUCAAAGACCCCCAAAAGUGAGCCAAACACCCCAGGAGGUGAACUGAAUACCAGUAGCUGGGUGGUGGACAGCUCAGGCUUCCUCUCUCCCAACGGCCCAGCAUUAAAAGAGGUGAUGGAGAUGGUGGAUGGGGACUUGGAUGGCUGGUGUAACAUGGCUGUCUUUGAUCUGCCCGAGGAGAGCCAGAGCCCAGAGCGGACCCAGUUCCGUCUGGAGGGCAGUGCCCUACAGGAACUCAGUAAGGGUAACCGGGGGGAGCUGAUCCCCAUCUCCCCUGGAGGAAUCACCCCACCUUCCAUACUGACCCGCCGCAGCCGCCGUCGCAUAGCUCUGUCCCCUGACUCCAACAACUCCAGGACCCCUAAGAGCACCCCGGUCAAGAUCCUGCCCUUCUCACCCUCACAGUUCCUCAACAUGUGGACCAAACAGGACAACUUUGAGCUGGAGAAUCCAUCUCUCACCUCUACGCCAGUGUGCAAUCAGAAGUCUGGGGUUACCACACCACUACACCGUGACAAGACUCCACUCACACAGAAGGAAAACUCUGUUUGCGCAUCCAAGCUGUACCCAAACUCAGUGUUCAUCACACCCAACCACAAGUCAAAUCUUGACACCACCCCAAGGACUCCAACUCCAUUCAAAAAUGCCAUGGAGAAGUAUGGUUCUCUGCGACCAAUGCCUCAGACUCCGAAUGAGGAGGACUUGAAAGAGGUCCUCUUGAAAGAGGCUGGGAUUGAGCUGAUCGUGACGGAUGAGAGUCCACCUGAGCAAAGACGCAAGCAGGUGCAUCGACCUCCAAUGAAGAAAGUGCGUAAAUCUCUGGCUCUGGAUGUCAUGGACUGCAAAGAGAUAGUCACUGCGAGGCGUCAGUCCAUGAAGUCCGAGCCCAAAACCUUUUCUAAGGCUGAGAUGUCUCUCAACUCCUCGUCCUUUUGUAUGAAGACUGAAGAUAAAGAGGAGAAUGUUCUGGAUCAGGGCUUCUGUUUAGGACCCAGUGAGAGUGGUGCAUAUUCCAACCCAGUGCCCCCAACCCCAAUGUCCAAGGCAUGGGAAGCAGUGGUAUGUGGACGUACUAAGGACCAGCUCAUAAUGACAGAGAAAGCAAGACGUUACCUCCGUUUACUGAAAUCCCACGCUCCUAACCGGGCCCUCAUCCUGUCCUGAGCCCUCACUAACCUCGUUGUCCUCUGUGCAGACAUUUCCAUUGUGUUAAAUAUAGGGUUGCAAAAUUCUGGUAACUUUAAAUUAAUUGCCUGGUUUUCCCAAAAUCUUCCUCAAAUCUUCCUCAAACCAUGAUUUCUAGAAAACCAGGGAAUUUAUUGAAAGUUCCCGAAAUGUUGCAACCCGAGUUAAAAAAAACUCCCCCGUGUCGAUGUAUUCAGAGCCCUUGACUUUUUCCACAUUUUGUUACGUUACAGCCUUAUUCUAAAAUGGACUAAAUCGUUUCCCCCCUCAAUCUACACACAAUACCCCAUAAUGACAAAAAAAAUACAUACCACAUUUACAUAAGUAUUCAGAACUGUUACUCAGUACUUUGUUGAAGCACCUUUGGCAGCGAUUACAGCGAGUCUUCUUGGGUAUGGCGCUACAAGCUUGGCACGCCUUUAUUUGGAGAGUUUCUCACAUUCUUCUCUACAGAUCCUCUCAAGCUCUGUCAGGUUGGAUGGGGUGUGUCGCUAAACAGCUAUUUUCACGUCUCUCAAGAGAUGUUCAAUCGGGUUCAAGUCUGGGCUCUGGCUGGGCCACUGAAGAACAUUCAGAGGCUUGUCCCAAAGCCACUCCUGUGUUGUCUUGGCUGUGUGCUAAGGUUGGGAAGAGACGCAUUGAAACAUGGUCAUUGUCAGGGGUCGUUGUCCUGUUGGAAAGUGAACCUUCGCCUCAGUCUGAGGUCCUGAGUGCUCUGGAGCAGGUUUUCAUCAAGGAUCUCUUUGUACUUUGUUCCGUUCAUCUUGCCCUUGAUCCUGACUAGUCUCCCAGUCCCUGCUGCUGAAAAACACCCCUACAGCAUGAUGCUGCUACCACCAUACUUCACUGUAGGGAUGAUACCAGGUUUCCUCCAGACGUGAUGCUUGCCAUUUAGGCCAAAGUGUUAAUUCUGGUUUCAUCAGACAAGAUAAUUGUGUUUCUCAUGGUCUGAUAGUCCUUUAGGUGCCUUUUGGCAAACUCCAAGCAGGCUGUCAUGUGCCUUUUACUGAGGAGUGGCUUCUGUCUGGCCACUCUACCAUAAAGGCCUGAUUGGUGGAGUGCUGCAGAGAUGUUAGUCCUCUGGAAGAUUCCCCCAUCUCUACAGAGGAACUCUGGAGCUCUUUCAGAGUGACCAUCAGGUUCUUGGUCACCUCCCUGACCAAGGCCCUUCUCCCCUGAUUGCUCAGUUUGGCCGGGGAGCCUGCUGUAGGAAGAGUCUUGGUGGUUCUUGGUGGGGACCUUCAAUGAUGCACAAAGUUUUUGGUACCCUUCCCCAGAUCUGUGCCUUAACACAAUCCUGUCUCUGAGCUGGUCUGAAUACUUAUGUAAAUAAGGUAUCUGUUUUUAUUUUUAAUACAAUUGCAAAAAAAAUCUAAAAAUCUCUUCUCACUUCUCUUGUCGUUAUGGGGUAUUGUGUGUAGAUUUAGAUUUUUAUUUCAUCUAUUUUAGAAUAAGACUAUAACGUAACAAAAUGUGGGAAAAGGGAAGGGGUCUGAAUACUUUCCGAAUGCACUGUAUAUAUGGAGAUAGUUUAGUGCCUUUUAAAAUAAAGGGUUAAAUACACCCCAGCUUAGAUUCUUAUGGAUUAAACAUGGUAAACAUGUUUCAAUGCGUCUCUUCCCAAACUUAGGCACCAUUUACACAGGUAGCCCAAUUCUGAUAUUUGGGCUGCCUGAGUAAACCCAGCCUUGAUUGUGUUGGUAUCGAUGAUAGCAUGGUUUUAGGUUUCUAAAACAACAUUUUGUAAAAAAUUGAUCUCGUGCUGUGUUGAGCGUGCUCAACUGAAGUAAUGUUUUCUCAGUCCUGGAUACUUGUAAAUAUGGAAAGAAUUGUAUUGUAGGGCAACUUUAUGGGUAUAUAAGUGUUUCAAAUGUAAUGCAGUUUGAAUCUACAAACAUCGUUCUCUCGUAAAGGUCUUAACACUGUACAAAAACAAUUUAAUCCACAUUUUAUAUCAAAUUUGUCAUACUCAAAUGUAAUAGAAAGGUCUAAAUGUUUUCCUUUUGAUAUCUAAAGUUCACAUGUCAUUUUGCACUUACAUCUAUCAGUAUUGGAGUUGUUUGUAACUGGGUUUGUCAUGGUUGCGUUUGAUUACCUGAUCAAUCAAUAAUGAAUCUAAACAAGUUGACUCACACAAGUGACCAGAUGGUUGGUGAGGUUGCAGAAAUGUUUGUUUCCAAUGAUCUAUUUUUACAUACUAUGUUAAGAGUAGAAGCAUGUGACGUGAAUAUGCAUCACCAUAGAAGAAUCAUACACUCGUGUUGUCCUAUUCUCAUGUCCAAAAUGUUAAGAGGUACAGGAUUUUUCUAUUGAAACCUGAUAAUGUUUUGUGCAGAUAACAAAAUGUAUGAGAAUCUCUCUUUUUUUUUUUCUAAUGUAAACAAACUAAAAAUAUUAAAUUAUAUGAACAGUUUGUAAAAUUGCCUGUGCAUUUGCAAUGUGUGAUUGAAAAAUAUUAAAUGUAUGUUGUCUUUUUAUUGACUUAAUCGGUUGGUGAGCUAUUGAUUUUGUGAUAAAUCAAAGAUGGGCCAGAUUAGGAAUUUUGAGUGGGGUUUGUUUCUUGAUGAGGACCAAUGAAAAACGGACACAAUGCUUAUGUGAACCUGCCCCUUUUUGUGUUGAGGGGCAGUCACAUGAGCCCGGUAACGUUUGAAAGGCACUGAAAUAGAAUGUAAAUGUAUAAUAUUUGCACAGAUUUUACCCGAUCAUUUGAUCUACAUUUUUUUGUUUUGUUAUUCUGGCCCACAUUUCCGACAUGUCCAACAACCCUCUGGGUCUGAUAUCAGAACGCGUUCAUUCAUUUGCAGCAGUUAGUUGUAACCAAUUAUACGAAUAGGGUCUCCAUGGCUUGGAACCCGGAAGCAAUUGCGGCUCUUAGGUGACGAUACAUUAGACGACAAGAGUGAGCCAAUGAUCUAUCUAUACAUCAUUGGAGUGGACAUGGCCCAGCCUCGUGUGUUCUGCUUAGUCCUCCUCACCGUGGCUCUCGGGGCACAGGCUCUGACCCCAUCCCAUCACCUCUCCCUGUCAGACGUGGAGAGACUUAAAGGCCUCCUGAGCCAACCCUUCACAGACCUGGCAUCAGCAUACUACUCCAUCGUUGGUUUGAGCAAGCUUGGAGCCGCAGUUGCUGAUGAAAAUGAUGCUUGUCAGUUUCUGAAGGCCCAAUUGGACCCCAUGAGUGUCGACUCCCUCUUCUUCGCUGCUGAGGCCAGUCAGGCCAUCGCAGACUGUGAGAUGCCAGUAUCCAACGAGACCCGUGACAUCCUUCUGGCAGCAGUCAGCGAGGACUCUACAGUAACACAGAUCUUCAGAGCUGUCAGCGCCCUCAGUUCCCUGGGGCUUCCUCUGGCUUCACAGGAAGUCGUCGCUGCCCUCGUCGCCCGUAUUGCCAAGGAGGACAACGUCUUGGCGAUCACUACUGCACUCCAGACUGCCACCCGUCUCUCCCAGCAGGCUGAGCUUGGAGGAAUCCUGGAGGAGAUUGAGGAUCUGGCAGCACGAUUGGAUGACUUGGGUGGAGUGUACCUCCAGUUUGAGGAGGGACUUGAGGCGACCGCCCUCUUUGUGACAGCAGCCUACACACUGUCAGACCAUGCGGACACGGAGCCUCCUCUGAAAGAGGACCAGGUGAUCCAGCUGGUGAACUCUGUGUUCAGUAAGAAGUCCUGGGAUUCCCGGUCUGAGGCGUUCAGUGUAGCCUGUGCUGCUGCAGCUCUCUCCAGCAACCGCUUCCACGUGCCAGUCAUCGUCAGUACCCAGGGGCCUGCAACAGUCUCCCACAGCCAGCCAAUCCUGCAUCUUCUGGUGACAGACAUCCUGUCCAAUCCUCUUGCCUCAGCCAAUCUGCUGGUGGAAUCUGCACAAGCUGUUGCCUCUAAGAGUGUUGUACUCAGCCAGGCACCUUUCUCCCUCAGAGAGUAAGUAUGGUAGACAGACUGAUUUUGAAUUUGUCUGGGCAAUAAUUUUGUGUAGAUUAAUAUUGAGUGUUAUAGAAUCCAAGCUUUAAUCAAAUCUUUGCAGUCAAGGAAAUAUCUCUGCUGUUCAUGCAUGUUAUUUGUAUGUCAGCGUUGAAGUGUUUAAUAAUUAUGUCCAACUGUUUUACAGUGGCAUUUUUGAACUUAACUUUAUGGCUAGCCAGCCAGCCAGUGGAUAUUACCAGUUUACUGUGGCUGUCACCGGGGACAGCCGAUUGGUUGCCAAUCAGGUUGAGGUGAGCUCGUCUUUUAUUCAAAAGACAUUUAUUGGGAAUCAUUUGAUACCCACAUAGAUGUAACAUAAACAUAAUCUUCUAUAUAGUAUUUGGUAGUUUAGUAUUUUCUUAAAUGGGGGCAUGGUACACACAAGGCCAAGUAAAGAAGAUCUAUAGUUUUGGAUUUGUUAUUUUGAGAACCAUCAAUUAGUCUAAAUGUUGUUGGAAGUUAAGUCAUAGUUGCCUCUUUGGGAUUGGUCAGAAGGUUAGCAGUUCAUUGUGCUUGCCAAGGAAGGUUAUUCCUACAAAGUAGCCUUUUCCAUUAGCGUACAUAACCUUUUAUGUUACUUGACCAGGUAUGAAAACUAACUAAUACAUGUGACAAUCACUCUGCUUCAUUCUAAUUUCUUCAUAUGAGUUCCAUUUUAUUCCUUCAUUUCUCACUCUCCACCUGUCUUCAGCUGAAAGUAAAGGUGUCCACUGAGGUAGCCGUCACUAAUAUGGACCUGUCUGUAGUGGAUAAGGACCAGAGCAUCGGCACCAAGACAUCCAGGGUGGACUAUCCCUUCAAGGCCAAGGGCUCCUUUACUGCAGACAGCCAUCAGAACUUUGCCAUGAAUUUCCAGUUAGUGGAUGCCAACACUGGAGUAGAGCUCACUCCCCACCAGACCUUCGUGAGGUUUCACAAUCAGAAAACUGGCCAGGAGGUUGUGUUUGUUGCUGAGCCGGACAGUAAGAACCUUUAUAAGUUUGAGCUGGACACAGCAGAGAGGAAGUCUGAGUUUGACUCCAUGUCUGGGACCUAUGUCCUCCACCUCAUCGUGGGAGAUGCCACCUUGGAGAACCCCAUUCUGUGGAACGUGGCUGAUGUUGUCCUGAAGUUCCUUGAUGAGGAGGCCCCAGCAGCCAUCCAGUCCAAGACCCUUUACAUGCCCAAACCAGAUAUUCAGGUUAACAACAAGCCAAACACUUGCAUAUAAUUGAACAUUGUGAUGAGUUAUGUAACAUUUUGUUUCGCUACUCUUGAGGCUACUAGUCAUAGCUUGAAAUGACUAAUGAAGAUAAGAUAAAUCUAACUCGGGUGCAUAGUCGCUGAUAGAUAAACUAGUUAAGUGAUAAUGCCCGAGAAGCUGGUGUUUUCAUAUAUUGGCAAACUGUGCCAAUAAUAUAUAUACUCCAAACACUGGCUUCGAGGGCAUUAUCACUUUGAUACAACAUAUUCAAAUACUGAUUGGCAUAUUUUCAUUAACAUUAUUUUGAUGAAUUUAUUCAUAAUAUUUUAUCCCUCCACAAGAUUUAGUCCCAACGCAAAUCUAGGGUUGCUACCCAAGCCGGCUGGUCAUUUGUUCUAUCGGUUCGGUUGCUAGAGACGUGACCCAGUCGUUCAGUCUUUUUGUUCUGUAUCUAUGGACGCAACCCAGUUGUUUGUUCUAAAUGUUAUAUUUCCACACUGGCUGGCAAUGUAAUUAUCCAUUACUUGCUAGCUAGCAAACCAGGGCUAACUUAGUCACGUCAAAAAAACUGAAUAACAGAGUAGCCGCAUUUGUUUAAGCUGUUUCUAAUGCCAUUUAUCUGGACACAUCCAUAACAAUGAGCUAAUGAGGCGCGCAUAGAAAAUGUGCUCACUCAUCAGGACACUUGUUUAGAGGAGCUAGUCAACAACACAGCUAACACAAUAACUUCAAACUGAAACUGGAAUGACUGCAAACUAGCUGCACAUUGUUUAGUUUGAUAUUUUUUCAAUUGACAUUUCUUUGUGUAUAUAUCCAUAAAAAUGAUGCUGAUUCAUGAUUGACUGGCUGAGAAAAGCUCCCUUCCUGUCUCUCAUCCCGACUCCCGACACAUUCAUUACUAUGGGACAGCUGGAGAUCGAUUUUGAAUAUUGAAACAAUGUUGGAAAUGUCGGAGAGACAGACAGCAAGGUUUAUACAAAGCUUGGUUGUUGAAAGCUAAAUAUUAGUCUAAAAGAAAUGUGAGCUAAUGUUUAGAUUCUUUUUAUAGUGGAGAUCAAGUUUAUAAAUUGCUUGGCUGGGCAAUUGCGUAGUCAAAUGGAACACAGUAAAUAGGCAUUUUAACUUCAUAGAUUUAGCUGGUGGUAACUUGUGGAAUAGACACCGGCUGCUAUGCAGUUUUAACCAAUCAGCAUUCAUGAUUAGACCCACCCGUUGUGUAAUAAAUGGAUAAAUAACUGGA